rnacentral:rRNA from 1 species
UAAUACAGAGGUGGCAAGCGUUGUUCGGAAUUACUGGGCGUAAAGGGCGCGUAGGUGGCCUUUUGAGUCAGACGUGAAAUCCCCCGGCUUAACCUGGGAACUGCGUCUGAUACUGGAAGGCUUGAGUUCGGGAGAGGGAUGUGGAAUUCCAGGUGUAGCGGUGAAAUGCGUAGAUAUCUGGAGGAACACCGGUGGCGAAGGCGGCAUCCUGGACCGAAACUGACACUGAGGCGCGAAAGCCAGGGGAGCAAACGGGAUUAGAUACCCCGGUAGUCCUGGCCCUAAACGAUGAGUGCUUGGUGUGGCGGGUAUCGAUCCCUGCCGUGCCGAAGCUAACGCAUUAAGCACUCCGCCUGGGGAGUACGGUCGCAAGGCUG